rnacentral:rRNA from 1 species
AGAGUUUGAUCCUGGCUCAGAUUGAACGCUGGCGGCAGGCCUAACACAUGCAAGUCGAGCGGAUUAAGUGAGCUUGCUCAUGGAUUCAGCGGCGGACGGGUGAGUAAUGCCUAGGAAUCUGCCUGGUAGUGGGGGACAACGUUUCGAAAGGAACGCUAAUACCGCAUACGUCCUACGGGAGAAAGCAGGGGACCUUCGGGCCUUGCGCUAUCAGAUGAGCCUAGGUCGGAUUAGCUAGUUGGUGAGGUAAUGGCUCACCAAGGCUACGAUCCGUAACUGGUCUGAGAGGAUGAUCAGUCACACUGGAACUGAGACACGGUCCAGACUCCUACGGGAGGCAGCAGUGGGGAAUAUUGGACAAUGGGCGAAAGCCUGAUCCAGCCAUGCCGCGUGUGUGAAGAAGGUCUUCGGAUUGUAAAGCACUUUAAGUUGGGAGGAAGGGUUGUAGAUUAAUACUCUGCAAUUUUGACGUUACCGACAGAAUAAGCACCGGCUAACUCUGUGCCAGCAGCCGCGGUAAUAC